CACCUCGCCUCAUAUGAAAUAGGAACGUACUGAGUUGUGCAGUGGACCUUUAUAAGAUAGGCCGUAUCAUGUGAGGAUGUAAUGUAUAUACUGCAGAAUGUGUUGGUGUGUGUUCGUAAGUGACGUGUCCUUUGCUCCUUCCAGGUCCCACUGAUCACUGUGGCUUGAUUCUUCUUUAUCAAGAAUGAAUGUCGUCAUUUUCUGUCCACUUUGACUAAACACAUGUUGAAUUUAACCCGCUUUCUAAAUCUAAGUACAUGUUCUAACUCAGCUGUGUGUGAGUGGCACUAAACUGUUAGCUUUAAUUUAGACUGUAGAAUGAGAAGAUGCCUCUGAAUCUUAUUAUUGACCUUGGAUCCUAUUGAUGAAAAGAGAAAAGUAUGAAUACUAACAUAUCAUGAGGAUCCUGUCUUUUAUAGUAUUCAGACUAUCCAUGUUAUACAUAUCCAAAGCACAAGGGAAUGUACAUGUAAACUGUAUCUCAUUAUCCUAUCUCAUUAUGUAGCUCUGCUUUGGUAAAAAAUGCCUUUGCUAUAAGUGUGAAAUUACAGUGUUUGAUUGACACAGCAGUGUGCCUGCUGGCAUUAAAAUUCAAAAGAUGGCUCUAUAUGAGUGUGGAGGGUAAUUUCAAAACAGUUGCAAUCAGCAUUUAUUAUCACCUGAGUGGUGCUGUGCUAUUGUGCCUAACACAGUGUGAUUAAUCCAUCUUCAGUCUGUAAUAUCCUGUCUUUUGUUUUUUAAUCAAUACUGAGUUAACAUUAACACCCAACCCCUCUCUCACUGUCAAGGUCACUGCUUUGCUCUGAUUCUGACCCAGACUCCGUUCCUGCUGCUAAUCCCUCAAGUCCUCUCAGCUCUGUCGGUGUGUUCGUGUGUUUGUGUUCAUGCAAGGAUUUACUGGCAUGUAUCAUGUGGAGCUUGUCCUCCCUCCUUCCUCUUUCUUUCCCGGCACUCUCUCUUGCUGUCUCCCCUGUUUCCUCACAUCUCGUCCCUCUCUUUUUCCCACGCUGAAAUGGGUCAUCUGUCCCUGACAGGAACGAAAACGAGAACAGGUCUCUUGAAAGCAGCGACGAGGACAACAAGCCUCUGCAGGGCAGCCAGACAUCACUGGAUGGCAACGUGAAGGAAAGCGAUGACAGUCUAGUGGACUACGGUGAAGGUGGAGAUGGCCAGUUCAACGAGGACGGUUCCUUCAUCGGCCAGUACACGGUGAAGAAGGACAAGGACGAGACGGAGGGCAAUGAGAGCUCCGAGGCCACCUCGCCCGUCAACGCCAUCUACUCACUGGCGUAGCUACAUAGUGGCACACAAUGGACUCAGUUGCGCCCUCUGAUUUGAGAGCAACAUCAUACACCAGACACCAAAACACACACACACACAAAUAUAUUACUAUAUGAAACACAUUAAACAAACGCAGCAGGGCCUGUCUGGAGACUGUGUAGGCUUUCCUCUGCAGAUUAAGUAAGAGAGGAACACGAGGUUGGAAUUAGACCACAAGCCUUUGUUUUACUUUUCCAGCUCUGAGAAAUUGGCCCCUUGGAGGUGACGUUUGGACAAAGUGGACAGUGCUCGUUUUCCUCUGCACUCUGCCUGCCCUUUACCCACACAGACUAAGUGUGCCUUUGGGGCAGCUUUCAGCAUUUGGAAGCAUCAACAAGCAUUCUUUAGAGAUUUUUCUUUGGUUGGUUUCUGCUCCAAACAUUUCCAGUGUCCAUGCUCUCCUUCCUGAUACACCCAUCAUACCUCCUCUGUGUAGCAUCCCAGUAAAGUACACACAAGAAGUCCCUUACACACACACACACUGGCCCCAUCCUGUAACAUAUCAGCUUCUAAACAUCAAACUCAACAGGAUGCCGGCAGAUAUGUUUAUCAUAUUGAUAUUUACGCAAUGAAAGAUUUUAGUUUUUCCACAGCUGGUAGACGAGUCAUUGAAUCUGAGUGCUGAAUACAGUCAUGGCACACAUUUUAGUGCCCUGCAAAACUAUGCACUAUCACCUCCAUACCAUUUUGGGUUUAAUCUGGUUAGUAAAAGUACACAUUUUCCAUUUCGUUACCACUUGCAGGCUGAAUCACUUGCUUUUAUUCACUUUGCCUUGUAGACGUGGUAGACAUGUUUUUCUUACCUCGAAUCCAAUGUUAUAUUGCAGAUGUUCAAAAUGGCCGCCACAACAAGAGCUAUUUCUGCCACAAGCAGCAAGCUCUGCUACAGUAUGUUGUUGAUGAGUCCCUUUUUUUUUUUUUUAAAGUUGAUAAAUAAUAUUUUGGAAGCAUGGUAGUAACUUAGUGCAAGAGAAAUGGGAAGGCAACAGAGAGGAACACUAGUUUUGCUUGAGAAACACCAGUAGUUCACAACCCAGUGAUUCCUUAUUUAGCAUGCAGGCUAAUGCUGCAUUCAUGUCAAAUGGGAUCAACUGUUGGUUGAUGGUUGUACUUCUUUGGAGCUGUAAAGCUUAUAUGAUUCUGUUUCUCUGCUGGUUUCUUAUUUGUUACAACAUGAAUAAGUGAGCGGUCCUUUUUUUUUACACCAAACCAAACAUUGCAACGUCAAUCCAACAUGGUGAUCGCAUAAUGACUUACUAUGAAAGAAAACAUUUUUAAAAAAAAUACUUUAUAUUCCUCUACAACUUUCCUACAUGUAUUUUCUUAGCUUUGACACCGGAAUUAAUUCUGUUAGUUUAGGGUCCCUUUAAGCUGAGAUGUAUAAUAUUUUCAAGUUGGAAGCUAAUAUCUACGUUCUCUCCCAUGGGACAUGAAUGCAGCAUGAGAGGCUGGGAUCCUUAAGGUGUGUUCAGACUAAAUUUCUGCCUUGCAUUUUUCUCACAAAUUUCGUCACUGGAUUGUUUUUGCAGUCUGUCUUUAUUCGCCUUAAACAGCCAAUGUACAGACUUUAGGUGUCAGCUAGCUAGCAACAUCCACACCAACCUCCAAUUCUUACUUUGUUUUAUUUUUCCUCAGAAGCUCACAUUGUCAACAUUUUCAAUUCGGAUGGGCACAUCUUCGGCUUAAUUCAUGAUUGUUUUUCCUCUUACGUCUUUGUAACAUAUAUGCAAUUGCACCGCCUCUAAAAUUGUCUUCAUGUUUAGUCUGAAUCCACCCUGAGAGAAGGAUCUACACUUCUUUCCUUCCCUCUAGUUUUUAUAAACUCAAUCAAUUUGAUGAAAAAAUAAGGACUGCGUUAGGGCCACGUAGAAUACUUGAAUUAAAUUUACAGCAUGAAUAUAUGUACAUUAAAUUCAGAGCCACCUUUUGAAAUGAAGCCCAUAAGCUUACUCUUCAGUUUUUGCAGAGGACAAAAUAAAAAAUAAAAAUAUUUGAGUGACAGAACAAGUUUUUAGAAGUACACACACUCAGUAUUUCACUUGUUCUUCAACCAUAUUUGCCAUGUAGUCAUUCUGUUAGUAGACUGAUGGACUGACUCAAUGAUUUGCUUGGGUUUCCUGAUUUUAUACUAAAUGGUCACUGAGUGCUCAUUGGUUUCACCACAUAACUUUGGCACUCAUACUGUAGUUACCUGCUACUCAACGGCACUAUUAAACCCUAAAUCACAUAGAUCUUUACUGCAGUUAGCGACUGCGAGUUGUAUUUUAAAUAUUAAUAUUAUUUUAUAUUUCUAUUUAUUACAUUAUGUGGAUAGUAUUAAUAUAUUAGUCCUUAAUUUAAUUAUUGUUACAUACACAUUUUUUAACCAAAUAAUUUUAAAUCUCCAGAAUCUGUUAUUGUUCAUCAUAAGAGGCAUUCAACACAACAGUAUGUUGUCUGCUGUAAACAAAACAACAAAAUACCCGUCAUCGUACAUGAAAAGGUUAUGUUUAUCCGUCCGUUGUGCUGCUCUUCUUGUACUCAUGUUGUAUUACUCUGUGUUAUUCAGAUUUAUGUAACAAAACUUUUCCACCACACAAAAAGUUAAUAUUGUUGCUUAUUAUUCAUUCGACAUAUAUUCUGUACAUGUAGGUCCUGAAAAAAAAACUCUUGUCUUUGUAAAUAUUUAAGUCGAUUUCCCCAGAAAAAUGCUUUAUCCGAAAAGGAAACUAAAAGUCACAAAUCUGUAUCCACCGAGCAAAUGCGAAGCGUGCAUCUCUAGUCUGUCACCCACCUUUGUAUUGUAGCUUUGACUAACAUUUGCACUCUGAAAAAGUAACAAGAAUCAUUCUUCACUCUGUGUUGCCCUUUUCUUUGACAUUGUGAAAUAUGGUACUGACUGUGGCAAGUCCAUCAGUCGCUUGUUGAUGAUGGUUUGGAUUCUAUAUUGUGAAAGAGGAAUACAUUAGAUUCUUUAUGAUGUAAAUAAGAUGUAAGUGCUCCUGCAAUAUACCGUUUGUAGCACUGUCGCGCACAAGCUGCUAGUAGGCCUAAAAAAAACAUACAUUUGCCGAGGUAUUGGAACAAACUCCCCUCCUUUAAACUGUUUGCCAUCACUCACAGACUGCAUAGAUUCAUUGUUCCCAUAAUGCCUUUCACCUAACAUGCCUAUUGUUACAUAGCUAGUUCCAUUUUAGAGGACAGAACAUUGAGUCUGCUCCUCCUGUCAGGCCUCACACAGACCAAAACUAAAGCUCAAAUUACUCUCUAAUUCAUUUGGACCACACACACCAAUUUGUGUUGGUCUACCUAUGCAGACGACUAGCGUCAUGUAAACAAAAAUGUGUGCAUGUCCGCUGUCCACAUCCAUGUCUAUUUUGGGCAAUUCUGACCCAUAAUGCUACAUUCAGGCAAUCUCAUCAACUUGAAAAAUCCACACUUCCAAAAGAAAUACUGCAGGUCCUUAAUAAUUCAUAACCUGGGUUUCCCAAAACAUUAACUUUUAAGAAUCUUGUGAAGCUUUGGUAAUAGUUUUUUUCCUGCCUUUUCACUGCAGGGCCAACUAUGUCAUUUUACUCUCUUUGGUAGGUGAGUAAGCUGUUUCGGGACAAACCACAGCGCAAGAUGUUUUCACAAACCCCAAUUGGUGCCAGUUGGUGGCCCAUUACCUUACAUUAUGUAAUAGGUUUAGAAGUGGUAAAUACCACUGAUAAACUUGGGUAAAGCCAUCUGACAAACAGGCAGGUAAAAAGGCGAAUAUGAUUAACAUUUUUAGUUGGCAAAACAAGUGCCACCAAAAAAACGGUGGAGUUUAUUUCCAGCUGACAUUUGCAUCCUGUAUUGGCUUUACAAUAGUCAGCUUUAUCUGACAAUUAUUACAAGUUGACAAAGAUUGCCAUAAAUGCACCAUUAAACAUUUGACGGGUCCACAAUACAUUAACCAAAUCUGGCAAAAGAAGCCUGCAGUUCUUGACUCAUUUGAAGUCGAACUGACCUUGUCCAUCUAUUGUAACACUUUCAAUCUGCAGACUUCAAAGGAGGAGGCCUCUAAAAUGGAACACAGCUUGUGUCCCGGUGACAGGCGGCCAUUUUGAAAACAGUUCUGGCCUGGUAUUUCCUUCCCCCUUUUAAAACAAAAGAGUGUCUGAUUCUUCUAAAACACAACCUCUGUGCCACUAAUUCCAAAAACUCAUGUUUCCUUAUGUCUCUCUGCAGGAACUCAAAGCAAUAUCCUCUGAGUUUUAAUCAGUGGAGUGUUUUCCUCUGAUACCAUUGUUUUACUGUUGACUCUAACGCUGGUGUGAGCACCGAGCACAGACAUCUUGACAAAAACAGCAAACCGGUGCUGCGAUGGAAGAAAACUGGAAGAAAAAGCACUGAGAGAUCAAACAUUGGUAACGUUAGUCCGAACAUUCAAACUGGACUCGUUGGAAGUGUUUUCUUUAAGAUCUGUCCUGGAAACCUGCAUCCCCUCCUUCUUCCCACACGGCCUUUCUCACCCCCCCGAGUGGAUCACAAUAGGGGAAUGUUGUAGACUGGCUAUAUAACAAAGAAAAGAGAAAUAUGCAUAUUUGCUGAAACACAGUGCUUUUUUUUCUUGUCCUUUUCUUUGUGCACGUCGAUUUUAGGUACACACGGAGCCAAGUGUCUCUUUUUCUCUCCGCAUCACCUCAGCUCACCUUUCAUCGGGGAAAAGAAAAUGUCAAUGUGCAGUUCUACAGCUUUUUGUUUCUCUUUGUUUCAAAAUGCUGCAACGUCUAGAAUCUUACUGGUGCAACUGGAUUUUUUGGGAUUGAUCACAUGCGGUUUGGCUUUUUUUUAAUGAAUUCUCAUAUUAGCAUCUUCUUGUUUUUACCAUGUGUAACAGAGCAGCUCGUCAAAGUCUUGCUUCGACACGCAAAAUAACAGCUUUUGUAAGGUACAUACUCAACAGAAAAUGGCAUAAAUAUAUUCACCAUGUAUGCGUGUAUGAUGAGAUGUUGCAACUUCUGCUAGCGACGCCUUCUUUAUAGUAAAGCUAUCUCCUUUUCUCUA